CAGCAGCCGCGGGAAUACGGAGGGGGCUAGCGUUGUUCGGAAUUACUGGGCGUAAAGCGCACGUAGGCGGCUUGGUAAGUUAGAGGUGAAAGCCUGGAGCUCAACUCCAGAAUUGCCUUUAAGACUGCCGAGCUAGCAGGUGAGAGAGGUAAGUGGAAUUCCGAGUGUAGAGGUGAAAUUCGUAGAUAUUCGGAAGAACACCAGUGGCGAAGGCGGCUUACUGGCUCAUACUGGACGCUGAGGUGCGAAAGCGUGGGGAGCAAACAGGAUUAGAUACCCCGUAGUCCCUGUCUCUUAUACC
rnacentral:rRNA from 1 species